rnacentral:rRNA from 1 species
GUCUGGCCUGCCCACUGAAAUUUUUAAAGGGCCGCGGUAAUUUGACCGUGCGAAGGUAGCAUAAUCAAUAGUCUCUUAAUUGGAGGCUGGAAUGAAUGGUCGGACAAAGAGCCAGCUGUCUUUCUCGCGUUUUUUGAAGUUUACUUUUAAGUGAAAAGGCUUAAAUAGUUUCAGGGGACGAUAAGACCCUAUAAAACUUUACAAGCAAAUUGGUGCUUUUUGAAUUGAGGUUUAAUAUUAGCUAUAAAUUACUUGUUGUGUUGGGGUGACAAAGAUAUAAGAUGUAACUGUCAUAUAAAUUAAAUAAUAAUAAUUAGGUUAAUUGAUCCUUUAUUAGAGAUUAAAAGAUUAAGUUACUUUAGGGAUAACAGCGUAAUUUUCUCUGAGAGUUCUUAUCGACGAGAGUAGUUGCGACCUCGAUGUUGAAUUAAGAUUUCUUCUAAGUGCAGCAGCUUAGUUAGUGGGUCUGUUCGACCUU